rnacentral:misc_RNA from 1 species
GAUGAAGAACGCAGCAAAAUGCGAUAAGUAAUGUGAAUUGCAGAAUUCAGUGAAUCAUCGAAUCUUUGAACGCACAUUGCGCCCCCUGGUAUUCCGGGGGGCAUGCCUGUUCGAGCGUCAUUUCACCACUCAAGCCUCGCUUGGUAUUGGGCGACGCGGUCCGCCGCGCGCCUCAAAUCGACCGGCUGGGUCUUCCGUCCCCUCAGCGUUGUGGAAACUAUUCGCUAAAGGGUGCCGCGGGAGGUCACGCCGCAAAACAACCCCAUUUCUAAGGUUGACCUCGGAUCAGGUAGGGAUACCCGCUGAACUUAAGCAUAUCAAUAAGCGGAGGA